rnacentral:rRNA from 1 species
GACGAACGCUGGCGGCGUGCUUAACACAUGCAAGUCGAACGGAAAGGCCCUGCUUUUGUGGGGUGCUCGAGUGGCGAACGGGUGAGUAACACGUGAGUAACCUGCCCUUGACUUUGGGAUAACUUCAGGAAACUGGGGCUAAUACCGGAUAGGAGCUCCUGCUGCAUGGUGGGGGUUGGAAAGUUUCGGCGGUUGGGGAUGGACUCGCGGCUUAUCAGCUUGUUGGUGGGGUAGUGGCUUACCAAGGCUUUGACGGGUAGCCGGCCUGAGAGGGUGAUCGGAAAGAUUGGGACAGAGAUACGGCCGAGACUCCGCGGGGAGGCAGCAGUGGGGAAGGUGGAAAGAUGGGCGGAGGCUGGAAGCAGUAAGGCGGCGGGGGGGAGGAGGGCCUGAGGGUGGGAGCCAGGUUCCGCCUGUGACAAGGGGUAGGGGACGGGAAGGGGAAAAGAAGCAGGGGAAAAAUAGGGC